CCCUACUCAGUUCUUCUUGUCGUUCUUGCUGCAACCUUCUUUUCUGUGUCCUUGUCAGCCCCUCUGGACACCACGGGGGAAGUUGUGGUUGCCUUACCGAUUGACGAAGAUUUUCCCUCGAUUCCACCCGAUAAGUAUUAGCAUCUCUGCAAAAUAUGAACUCAUUGGGAACUCGCGCAUCCGCCAUCUCCUCAAGCUCCUCUUGGUUUCUUAGAAAAUAACCAACACGUUCACCAAGCCU
rnacentral:lncRNA from 1 species